ensembl:lncRNA
CUGCACGCAGUGGCUGCGAUGGAGGCAGGGAGGCCCCCCUGUGCUUGAGGGUGGCCUCGCCAUCAAGGCUGGGGCCUCCGUGCCUCCUGCCUUGCUUGUCCCCCUCAGCCACAGCUUGGCCGCUUCUAGGAGAUGGUGCCGUCUCUCCCACCAGCAGGCUCUCCCCCGGGAGCCUGCUCAGACCUGCCUUCCUCACAAAGCUCGGUAGCAACUCCCUGGGGCAGAAAAUGUCUCUUCUGAAAGCAAGACAAGAGUUUAAUUAAGCCCUAAACGCACACAGUUGAGCCUGAAAUUAGGGUGGUGAUGGGAGGGGGAGAAGGCAAUCGAGGACGGUGGGUAGCGGGGUGGGCUUCAACGCACUUCUGGCCCAGCUGAGCCAAACAAGCCUACAAGCAAACAUUUACAGAGCCUGUGGGCGUGGCUACAAAGCCUCUCUGACCUGGAGAGGGGAGAAUGCCACGUUUCCUGUCCUGUUUGGGCUCUCCCCAGGUUGUUGCUCAGACAGUCAAACCACAGCCUCCUCCUCUACCUGGCAAUUAAUCCUGCUGUGCCCUGCAACCUGGGUUGGGUCUUACUCUGCCAGGGACUGAAGCAAGAAGAGACGGGCCGCCGGGCGUGUUAUCGCUUGUCUCUGGGGCAGAGAAGCGGUUGCAACAGAGCCCCUGCGUGCGUGUGGACGUGCCUGCGUGGAGCAUGCAUGAAAGUGAAAAGUGAAAGGGAAUUCGCUCAGUUGUGUCCGACUCUUAGCGACCCCAUGGACUGCAGCCUACCAGAUUCCACCGUCCACGGGAUUUUCCAGAACUUCUGUGUUGCUUUGGAAGAAGAACCGGUCUCUGUGAUGCCUGGGCAUCCUUUCAGCUUUCACAGUCUGUCAAGGUCAAACCAAAGAGUUGAGUUCAAGUUCCCAUCCCUAGAGUUGUUGACAGGCAUUUUGCUAGAGGUGACACACCAUCCAUUACAAGCUGAGAGUCAAGGAUCUGGAAAAUGAGAAGCCCCUCCCCUAAGCCACAGACAGCCUGGAUGAGCACACCAAGACAGAGGUUCAGUAUCUUGCCGAAAGUUGAGAGGAGAAGCUACGAAUAAGACCAGCUCUGGCUCCCAAUCCACCCCACAGCUUUUGAUGGUACUCAGUGGUACACCCUUGGACCCCGAUGGUGUGGGCAGUUCUCCCACAGGUCUGGCCCGAGUCUCUCCUACUCUCGUCUGAAUUGGAUCAGAUGGAAGGACCAUGUCAGUAGGUCGGUUCUGCUCCCAACCCAGCCUCAAGAGACAUCACCCAUCCCUUGGUACAGGUGGUAGCCUUCCAGUUACUGGGGUGGGGAUGUUUGCCUUCUGUUAAUGAAAAGAAAUAGAUGUGAUAAUAAAUAAAUGCCCAACCCAGUGCAGCAAUCGAUGUCCCUAACAAUGAGGCUCUGUGUUUGCUCUCAGCUGUGGGUUAUGUUCAUUGGCCACAGUCACUGCUCAGGAGCCCCUGGGCACAUCAUCCUGGGUGGGUCCACAGGGGAGGGAGCAAACCUUCCUGCCUUCAGCUACCGGAAUUCAUCCCAC